rnacentral:rRNA from 1 species
AGAGUUUGAUCCUGGCUCAGGACGAACGCUGGCGGCGUGCCUAACACAUGCAAGUCGAGCGAUGAAAUCCUUCGGGAUGGAUUAGCGGCGGACGGGUGAGUAACACGUGGGUAACCUGCCUCAAAGAGGGGAAUAGCCUUCCGAAAGGAAGAUUAAUACCGCAUAAUAUGUUUUGGUCGCAUGAUCAGAACAUCAAAGGAGUAAUCCACUUUGAGAUGGACCCGCGGCGCAUUAGCUAGUUGGUGAGGUAACGGCUCACCAAGGCGACGAUGCGUAGCCGACCUGAGAGGGUGAUCGGCCACAUUGGAACUGAGAUACGGUCCAGACUCCUACGGGAGGCAGCAGUGGGGAAUAUUGCGCAAUGGAGGAAACUCUGACGCAGCAACGCCGCGUGAAUGAUGAAGGCCUUAGGGUUGUAAAGUUCUGUCUUCUGGGACGAUAAUGACGGUACCAGAGGAGGAAGCCACGGCUAACUACGUGCCAGCAGCCGCGGUAAUACGUAGGUGGCAAGCGUUGUCCGGAUUUACUGGGCGUAAAGGAUGCGUAGGCGGACAUUUAAGUCUGAUGUGA